rnacentral:tRNA from 1 species
GGGCCGGUAGCUCAGUUGGUAGAGCAUCUGACUUUUAAUCAGAGGGUCCCGGGUUCAACCCCCGGCCGGCUCA